rnacentral:rRNA from 1 species
AUUGAACGCUGGCGGCAUGCUUUACACAUGCAAGUCGAACGGUAACAGGCCUUCGGGUGCUGACGAGUGGCGGACGGGAAAGUAAUGCUACGGAACGAGCCCUGAGGUGGGGGAUAACGCAUCGAAAGCUGUGAUAAUACCGAAUGUGAUCUGCGGAUGAAAGCGGCGGACCAGGCAGCAAUGUUUGGCCUCGCGCCUUUGGGGCGGCCGAUGCCAGAUUCGGUAGUUGGUGGGGUAAAGGCCUACCAGGCCGACGAGCUGUACCUGGUCUGAGAGGACGACAGGCCACACGAGAACGGAGACACGGCCAAGAGGCCUACGAGAGGGAGCAGUGGGGAAUGUUGGGCAAUAGUGGCAAGCCUGACCCAGCAGUGCCGCGCGCGAGAAGGAGGCGUUGGGGUUGUGAACCGCUCUUGUGCGGAACGAAAAUGCUCUGGCUAAUACCUGGCGCUAAUGACGGUACCGUAAGAAUAAGCACCGGCUAACUACGUG